rnacentral:tRNA from 4 species
GCUGGUUUAGCUCAGAAGGUAGAGCGCCUGCCCUGUAAGCAGGAUGUCAGCGGUUCGAUUACGUCAACCAGCACCA